AACGAACGCUGGCGGCAUGCCUAACACAUGCAAGUCGAACGAACCCUUCGGGGUUAGUGGCGCACGGGUGCGUAACGCGUGGGAAUCUGCCCUUGGCUUCGGAAUAACAGUUAGAAAUGACUGCUAAUACCGGAUGAUGUCUUCGGACCAAAGAUUUAUCGGCCAGGGAUGAGCCCGCGUAGGAUUAGGUAGUUGGUGGGGUGAAGGCCUACCAAGCCGACGAUCCUUAGCUGGUCUGAGAGGAUGAUCAGCCACACUGGGACUGAGACACGGCCCAGACUCCUACGGGAGGCAGCAGUGGGGAAUAUUGGACAAUGGGCGCAAGCCUGAUCCAGCAAUGCCGCGUGAGUGAUGAAGGCCUUAGGGUCGUAAAGCUCUUUUACCCGGGAUGAUAAUGACAGUACCGGGAGAAUAAGCCCCGGCUAACUCCGUGCCAGCCGCCGCCGUAACAC
rnacentral:rRNA from 1 species